AGAGUCAAGUUAUGCAUAGACUUUGUUCAUAAAAAAGUUUAUGCAUUGUUUGACUUUCU
rnacentral:precursor_RNA from 1 species